AUGGGAUAGUGUGAUCUGCAGAGGUGCAACCAGAAGACAUCGAUGUGAUGAACUUUUAAAAGCUACUGAAGCACUGUGUGGUGGAGGAGCAGUGAUAAAUAAUGUAUCAUAAUCCAUAUGGUCUAAUCAGAAGUGUCGUGAGAGUGACGGACAUCUCCUGUUUGGACCGGAAGUGAGCUCUGCGCCUGGAAGAGAAGGAGGGCAGAAAAUCUCCACAGCAGAUGGCAAGCUCCAAGAUUUCAACAUUUCUGAAAGGAGCUGCUGACUGUCACACCCUUGGACUGUUUUGUGUUUCAUUCCCCAUGUGCUCAGUGUGACCCAGUUUUUCCCCAUGUUUGAUUGUUAGUCAGUUCACCUGUGUUCUCAUGAGUUGAUCCUCCUCACCUGUCUGUCACUCAUUAGCACCCUAUUUAAGCUGUAGUGUGUCCUCUGCUCCCUCUCCGGUCUACUAUGUCUCUACGUGUGCUCCUGUCUGCCUGUUAUGUGAUUUACCCUUGUGUGGAUUUAUUAAAAGACUAUUUGCGUUGA